AAUUCUCAACUCUCUAGCGGUUGUCAUGACCGCUGGUAGAGCUUGGAUGUGAGGGUUCUGCCGGCUCCUUGUUGAGUCUGGCUCCCUUGAAAAAUAUUAGCGCAGCUUUGCACUGUCUGCUACAGGUGUGAUAAUCUAUCUACUCCUGAUUAGUGACGCGCAUGAAUGGCUUUGUGCUUCUAAUCGUCCUCGGACAAUUUUUUGA
rnacentral:misc_RNA from 2 species